UGUGUGUGUGUGUGUGUGCGAGCUGCGUCUCUUCAUAAGGACCCUCGUAUGACCGGGAGUCUGUGUCUUGCCCUGAAGAUUAAUCUUUGGUCCUUUCUGUCCCAUCUCUGGAAGAGCAUCAUGAUCCUCAAGACUCUGAUUCUUCUCAUCACUCUUCCUGCAGGUUUGGAGAGUCUUGUGCUUACACAGGACAAAGCGAUGCCUGCAAAACAAGGAGAGAAUGUGAAGAUUUCCUGCAAAUCAGAUGCCAAUAGAGAUUAUGCUUUAACAUGGUACCAGCAAAAACCAGGACAAGCUCCAAAGUUCUUGCUUGUUGAUAGCACCAGAGCGAGCGGACUGCCGAGUCGAUUCACUUACAGUGGAUCAGGAACCCAAGAAUAUCUGCAUAUUAACGGUGUUCAGGCUGAAGAUGAAGCCGUUUAUUACUGUGCUUGCCAUGGUUGUGGAACUGGCUCUCCUACAUUUUUCGGUGGCGGCACUGAAGUGACUUUUGAUAUUAAAUCUCCCCCGUCCCUCGUUCUGCUGGCUCCCUCUCAGACUCAGUCGUCAGGUGAUGAGGUCAGGGUGGUUUGUCUGGCACAGGGUUUCCGUCCUGAUAGCGCCACUCUGUCCUGGUCCGAUAACGAAAACGCCGUAGCUGGUACCGAGGUACAGACGAGUUCGUCUCUGCGUCAAUCUGAUGGCACCUUCAUCAAAUUCAGCACUCUGAAACUCAGCCCAGAGCGCUGGAGCUCAGGACGAACCUACACGUGCCACGUGAACCACCUGGCUCUGUCAGCACCACUGAGUCAGAGCACCAGUGCUGAAAAGUGCAGCUAGACAAGCUGGAGAAACGGAUGUGCUGCAUGUAGGGAUGUGAUCUUCAGCACAGAGACAGGAGAAAGCGAUUAAACCAUACAGUUUAAGAACAGCUGCUUCCUUCUCUUCAUGUCUCAGUGUUUUCUGCACUUCUGCUUCUUUUAGAGACCAUGUAGAAUACUUCAUGUUCUUGUAGGUGCUUCGCUCAUCACAAACGUUUUCCUCAAUAAAAUGAUCAUAAGAGACAAACUGAUGUGUGGAAUUCUGUAACAUAUCUGAAACCUGUUUGAACAUGAAUUCAUUUAAUCAGUUUAACUAAACUCAUGCAUAAAAGUACAAAAAGAAAUAGACUUUAAAAGACGAUAUUGAAAUAUUUGUUUUCUUCUUUAGUUUAUUUACCCCCUGUGUCAAAAACACAACAUUUAAAAGUGUGCUAUUAAUCAUCCCAGUCAGAAUAACACUGAGUAUUCCUUCAGUUCUGCCGAGUUUAUUAAGAAACCAAAUACAAAGAAAGCAGAGUCACUAGAAGCUAUUGAUGAUACAGAAGCUGUAAAAUCCAUAUUAUUGAUAAUUCCUUAUUAAAAACAAUAGAAUUUGCACCUAUUGAAUAAUUAGAUUUCGUAUUUAAUCGUUACUUUAUUAAUCGAAGAUCAACGUCUCAUCAGUACAAACAAGCGUCUAAAUGAUAUCCAUAAGUCUUGUAUUUAUUACUUCAAAAUGAACAGCUUUUAUGGUACGUUGUUCAUUUUUAAAUGAUUUUUGAUUAGAGUUUUAUUAUUAAAUUAUCUUUUGGAAUCCCAAGAGAUCUCAUUUACAUCCAGUUUCUGUUUAAGUUCCUUUUUUUUAACUGCUCUCUGGUCAUCAGGUUUCACUCUUUCUCUCACUUCUUGAUUCAGUCAGUAAGGAAUAAACUCUUGGGGAUGUGAUGUUACAGGCAAAUAAUCAUGAAGCUGCACGACUCCUGUUACUCUAAAGCUGAUUCUUUUCCAAUAACAACAUGACCUAAAGUGUUUUAUUCCCCUUAUUUUACACCAAUUUGACAACAACGGAUGUAUCAAUGUGCUUUUUCUUUCAGCUUUAUAUUACAGUGAUGAAUCACAGCAGCUAGAAACACUCGUUCCUUCAUCGGUUUUAUUUCUCUCUCUUUUGAACUUAAGACAACAAGCAUAAAUUUUUAAUGUCAGAAAAACCUUUGGCCUAUUUUUCAGACCAGCUGAUUUGCCCAUUGCAUUAAGAAUGAGGUUUAUGUGGUAAAUAGCUGCUGAAAAAAAUCCCCUUUUAAAUUUUUUUAAAUAUUUGGUAAGGUUAUUGAUGGCUGAUUUAAAUCUAAAAGUCGUGCAGUAUAAGAAAGUCAAUGCAAAUGUCUUGCACUUUGUUAAUGUAAAGUUCUGUAUGUGUGUGUGUGUGUGUGUGUGUGUGUGUGUGUGUGUGUGUGUGUGUGUCUCUGUGUGAGUGUGUACGCUCAUGGAGGUGUGUUUUCUGUGAGUUCCUGUUGUCACCCUCCCUUUAAAACAGCAGAGUUUUGAGUUCGAGCAGCUCGACUUUGCUCUCAAAAGAAACCCGAGUCUUUUCUCUUGACCUUUAUAGACCCGAACACGAUGAUCCUCAACACCGUUUCCCUCACCGCCAUCUUGCUCACGCUGACAGGUUUGAAAGCGCUCGUGUUGACACAGGAGAAGGCGAUAUCUGUUCAGUGUCUUUAGAUUCUGUAGUCGUGAUGACUGAAGUGUUCAGCAUGAGCAGGAACAGUGAGCUACAACCCUGAGGUUUUUGUACUAGGCUCUAACACUGUGUGGCUCUGCUACAGUUUUCGGUGGCGGCACUGAAGUGACUUUUGGUGAAGAUGCUUCAACUCUGCACUUGCAAUCUUCAACCGUCCAGUUACUGUGGCAUCAGAUUCCUGUUUUAACUUGAAAGAUGUGGAAGCCUUCUGCUGUUGUAGCCCAUCUGCCUCUAGGCUUUCUACUAGAUGUUGGAGCAUGGCUUUGGGGAUUUGUGCGCAAGAGCACUAGUGAGAUCAGACAGUCAUGUCAGCUGCUUGGUGUAGUAAUUGAAGCAACCUCCUUGCCUGUGUGUGGCUUCCGCUGGGUUAGGAGUCAUUUGCGGGCAGCACCAGAAGUGUUCUUUGAGGGCUUUGGGAUGGAGAUUCAGGAGAUCGACUGGAAAACUCAGUGGAAGUGCAGUGACAAGAAGAAAGCCAGAGUCUUCUAACCAUUUGAAACACCACACACUUGUUCACACUGGCCAUAUAUUUACUUGUAAUAUCUUUUUCUCACUUUCGUGGGCCCUGUCUGUUAAUAUGAAAUGCAAUCUGAAACGAUUUCAUUGCUUUAUUUCAUUAAUUAGCACAAUGUAAUGCCAUGAAUAAAAAGUAUUAUUGCAUCA